rnacentral:pre_miRNA from 1 species
AGCUUCCUCUUUUGCAGCAAGGAAGGAGGCCGGGGCUUUUGCAAGGGAAACACCACUUCUCUCCUCGUUGAGCCCCCGGCCUCCUCCCUUGCAGCAAUGGAGGAGGCU